GAAUUGCAGAAUUCAGUGAAUCAUCGAAUCUUUGAACGCACAUUGCGCCCUUUGGUAUUCCAAAGGGCAUGCCUGUUCGAGCGUCAUUUGUACCCUCAAGCUUUGCUUGGUGUUGGGCGUCCUUGUCUCUCACGAGACUCGCCUUAAAAUG
rnacentral:rRNA from 1 species